UAACUAGUUAGUUCUUCUAUUAUAACACCAAUUGCUGGGGGAAAGCGCGCACGCAGUCCCCCACUACCACAAAUUAUGCAGUCGAGUUUCUCCCAUUUAGAGAAAUCGCAGGCGUCAGCACACUCGCAGUGCAAUGAAUGAGCCUCAUCCUGGGAAAACCACCUUAGUGAUCAUGGUAUCUCCCCUGCCAGGUAAGUAUGAACCGUUUGCCCCACCACCCAGUACAGCCUUAGACGCCUACACUGUACACACACGCUCCCCACCCACCCUCCGCACCCCCUCCCCUUCCACGCCUCUCAGCCCUCCAAACUACUCUGCUAAUAAAAUCCAAGCAACUCUGCUAAUAAAAUCCAAGUAACUUCUCCGGAAAACUUCCACAGCCCGGGAAGUGGCUCGCGGGGAAUUGUACCCAUAAGCUGCAAGAUUUACAUAAGCCAAGCCCCAUUCCCGACCGCUUAGGCGGCUCCUCUCCUCCAACCCCCGCCCUGUCCCCGCCCUGCCGAGAUGACCAAUGGGCGGGCCGACUGCUGAAGGGGAAGUGACGUCACCAUGGCCGCCCACUUCGGGAGCCCACCAAGCCGAGAAUACAAGAAAUGAAGAUUCUGAAAAAGAAGCUGAUGACCAAGGGAUGAUAAGGGAUAGAAAGAUGAAGUGUUUGCUUGAAGAGUGAGGGGACACGGGUUCGAGCCCUGGUCCGGGAAGAUCACACAUGCCGCGGAGCAACUAAGUUCAUGUGCCACAACUAAUGAGCCUGUGCUAUAGAGCCCGCGAGCCACAACUACUGAAGCCCGUGCACCUAGAGCUCAUGCUCUGCAACAAGAGAAGCCACCGCAAUGAGAAGUCCUCGCACCGCAAUGAAGAGUAGCCCCCACUCGCCGCAACUAGAGAAAGCCCAUGCAGCAACGAAGACCCAAAGCAGCCAAAAAUAAAUAAGUAAAAUAAAUAAAUAAAUAAAAUAAAUUUAUUUUAAAAAGAUGUUUGUACAUGUUUGAAGCAUUACAUUAGGUACCUGCCAUCUUUCUUCCUUUCCAUUUUUUUUCCUAAAGGGCUCACCCUAUUUCCUGCACAGGACCCGACAUGGUUCUCAUUUGAAUUAUGGCAAGUUGGAAGACAUUGGUGGUCAUGCAGGUUGAUUUUAUUUUUAAGAAUGAGUUCUGUUUCUGACAUAAAGAGGAAAAGAAUGUAAGUUAUGAAAAGUUAAAUAUUAAAUAUCUUCCAUUCCAAAGAUACAUUUUUUGCAACUUCUUUAAUAGGGUAAAGAACUACAUUUCAAAGGGUGAAACACAAGAAUGGCUAUUGGGAAUUUUCCCCAUAAGUAAUUUGUGACUUGAUCCUGACCAGCUCUGAGAUCUGUAUGAUUCAUGUUGUUGCUUUCAUAAAUGUUAUGUCCAUAAAAUGGAGUUCUUAGAAGCAAUAUUUGAGUUCUCCACUGGAUUUAGGAAGAAUUGCUGGGAUGCUUGAAUAACUGCAGAGCAAGAGGCCCUCAAAUUUUCCUACUUUGUCUUUAAGUAAUACUUCAUAGUUUGGCUGACUUUUCAUCCAUUCUGCUGAUUCUGUCAGUGAGAUCCUCUUUAUUGACAGCCAAAGGCACUCAUGGAAAAUGCUUAAACAACCAAGUGUAAAAGCAGAAGUUGAGGUCACUUCAUCUACUAUGAAAGUGGGGCAUGUCUCUAUCUCAGACCUGAGUCUGUUGAUGGAUGUGUUUGUUAUUGUUGUUGGUGGUUGUGAUCAUGGUUGAAUUUUUUGUUUGUGUUGUUGUUUGUUUUAAUUUAUUAUUACCUCUAGGGUAUAAUUGUGGAAUGAUAGCUUUAUU